rnacentral:misc_RNA from 1 species
GUCAUAUUUCGGCUGUUCGAACUCGUAGCGGACGAAUUCGAGCUGCGAGGUUCCCGAGAAAUCGUUGAUCGGGAACACCGAGCGGAACACCGCCUGCAAGCCUUCGUCAAGCCGCCCUGGGUUCAUCGACCAUCAGGAACUGGUCGUACGAUGCCUUCUGAACCUCAAUGAGGUUCGGCAUCUCGGCAACUUCCUUGAUGUGUCCGAAGAACUUGCGAACUCGCUUGCGACCGGUGAACGUCUGCUNUUGCGACCAGUGAAAGUUUGCUGCGUCUGCGCCAUCGUGGCCUCUCAUUUUCGCCGCCCUU